rnacentral:rRNA from 1 species
AUGCUCCCUCGCCCUCCUUCCCACCUCCUGCCAUGGCGGUGCCUCCUCCUCCUCCUCAUCCUGGCCUUGGCCGGCAGCAGCAAUGGCGUCUCUGCGACUGCCAAGGCAAAGGCCAAGGCACCGGCAGCGGCGCCCAAGCCGGCCGGGUUCGGGUACAAGCUGGUCUCCCUCGUCCAGCGCCCCAACGGGGGAGGCCUCGUCGGCUUCCUCCAGGUGAAGCGGCGCACCUCCACCUACGGCCCUGACAUCCCCCGCCUCAGGCUCUUCGUCAAGCACGAGACCAUGGACAGGGUACGGGUGCAGAUAACGGACGCGGAGAAGCAGAGGUGGGAGGUCCCCUACGACCUGCUCCCGCGGGAGCCAUCCCCGCCCCUCGGCGCCACCGCCGACGGCGCCCCCUUCACCGCCGGGGAGUACCCGGGGCAGGACCUCGUCUUCACCUACGGCCGCGACCCCUUCUGGUUCGCCGUGCACCGCAAAUCCACCCGGCAGCCGCUCUUCAACACCAGCCGCGCCCCGCUGGUGUUCAAGGACCAGUACCUGGAGGUGUCCACGCGCCUUCCCGGCGACGCCGCGCUCUACGGGCUCGGCGAGAACACGCAGCCCGGCGGCAUCAAGCUCCGGCCCAACGACCCCUACACGCUCUACACCACCGACGCCUCCGCCAUCAACCUCAACACCGACCUCUACGGCUCCCACCCGGUGUACGUGGACCUCCGCAACCUCGCCGGCCGCGGCGUCGCGCACGCCGUGCUGCUGCUCAACAGCAACGGCAUGGACGUCUUGUACACCGGCACCUCGCUGACCUACAAGGUCAUCGGCGGCCUCCUCGACUUCUACUUCUUCGCCGGCCCGACGCCGCUCGCCGUCGUCGACCAGUACACCGCCAUGAUCGGCCGCCCCGCGCCCAUGCCGUACUGGGCAUUUGGGUUCCACCAAUGCAGGUGGGGAUACCAUAACCUUUCGGUGGUGGAGGACGUGGUGGAGAACUACCGGAGCGCGCAGAUCCCCCUGGACGUGAUCUGGAACGACGACGACCAUAUGGACGCCAGGAAGGACUUCACUCUGAGCCCCGUGAACUACCCGCGCCCCAAGCUGCUGGCCUUCCUCGACAAGAUCCACGCGCGCGGGAUGAAGUACAUUGUCCUCAUCGACCCCGGCAUCAACGUGAACCACACCUACGGCGUGUACCAGCGCGGCAUGGACCGCGACAUCUUCAUCAAGCUCGACGGGCAGCCAUACCUCGCCCAGGUCUGGCCCGGCCCCGUCUACUUCCCGGACUUCAUCAACCCCAACGGCGCCUCGUGGUGGAUCGACGAGGUGCGCCGCUUCCACGAGCUCGUCCCCGUGGACGGGCUCUGGAUCGACAUGAACGAGGCCUCCAACUUCUGCACCGGCAAGUGCACCAUCCCGACCACGCACCGGUGCCCGGACCCGACGUCCAAGGAGCCCUGGCUGUGCUGCCUCGACUGCAAGAACCUCACCAACACCAGGUGGGACGAGCCGCCGUACAAGAUCAACGCCUCCGGGAAGUCGGCGCGCCUCGGCUACAACACCAUCGCCACCAGCGCCGUGCACUACAAUGGCGUCCUGGAGUACAAUGCCCACAGCCUGUAUGGCUUCUCGCAGGCCAUCGCCACGCACAAGGGGCUGCAGAGCAUCCAGGGCAAGAGGCCGUUCAUCCUCACCAGGUCGACAUUCGUCGGCUCCGGCGCCUACGCCGCGCACUGGACCGGCGACAACAAGGGCACCUGGGAGGACCUCCGCUACUCCAUCUCGACCAUGCUCAACUUCGGCAUCUUCGGCAUGCCCAUGGUCGGCUCCGACAUCUGCGGCUUCUACCCGGCGAGCCCGCCGCCGCUGGAGGAGCUGUGCAGCCGCUGGAUCGAGCUCGGCGCCUUCUACCCCUUCUCCAGGGACCACGCCAACUUCGCCUCGCCGAGGCAGGAGCUCUACCAGUGGCAGUCCGUGGCGAGGUCCGCCCGGAACGCGCUCGGCAUGCGCUACAGGAUGCUCCCCUACCUCUACACGCUCAACUACCAGGCGCACCUCACCGGCGCUCCCGUCGCGCGCCCGCUCUUCUUCUCCUUCCCGGACUUCGCGCCGUGCUACGGCGUGAGCAACCAGUUCCUGCUCGGCGCCGGCGUCAUGGUGUCCCCCGUCCUCGAGCAGGGCGCCAGCUCCGUCGACGCGGUCUUCCCGCCGGGCACGUGGUACAACCUCUUCGACACCAGCAAGGCGGUCGUGUCCACGGGCUCCGGCGCCGCCGUCAGGCUCCCGGCCCCGCUGAACGAGGUGAACGUGCACGUGCACCAGGGCACGGUCCUGCCGCUGCAGCGCGGCGGCACCAUCUCCCGGGACGCGCGCGCGACGCCGUUCACGCUGGUGGUGGCGUUCCCUCUCGGCGCGGCGGACGCGGACGCGGAGGGCGCCGUGUACGUGGACGACGACGAGCGGCCCGCCAUGGUGCUCGCGGAGGGGCAGGCGACGUACGCGCGGUUCCACGCGGCCGUGCGCGGGGGCAAGGAGGUGACGGUGCGGUCGGACGUGGCCAUGGGGAGCUACAGCAUGCACAAGGGCCUCGUCAUCGAGAAGAUCACCGUGCUGGGGCUGCACGGCGCCGGCACGGACCUCGCCAUCCAGGUCGACGGCGCGGACGACGCCACCGCGGUCGCCACGUCGAGCCCCUACUUCGCGGCCGCCGACGCCGCGCAGGUGCUGCGCCAAGGAGAAGAAGAUGACGCCGUGGAGGGUGAAAAGAGGAGCGGCGUGACGAUGGAGGUGGGCGGGCUGGCGUUGCCGCUGGGGAAGAGCUUCACCAUGACGUGGAACAUGCGCAUCCAAGCAUAG